UUACUACGCUUGAAAAACUGUUACUUUUAAACCGGUUUUAGGAAAACAUUUCCAUAAAGUUGUGAAUUAUGUUUAGAAAAAUAAAAACCGGUUUCUUCCUAUUGGGCCCCUUAAGUGGCACACCACCAGGCCGGAUUAUUUAGGUUACAAUAAAGUUCUUAAAACGUUCGCGUUCUUAUGAAAGUUCGGAGGAAAACCGAAAUAAACCAGUAUUUUAUAAACCGGUUCCGAGGCUUG